ACUAAAUUUGAAAUUUAAGAUUUUCCUCUCUAUAAUCAGAGGAUUAAUUCUUCCCUCCUGAUAAUAACACCCAGGCCAGAGAGGGCAUUACUGCAAAGUGUGAAUUUAUGGUAUACUUCAGCAGAUCGGUUGAGCAAACGUCUGAA